rnacentral:rRNA from 1 species
AGUGAACGCUGGCGGCGUGCUUAACACAUGCAAGUCGAACGAGAACGGAAUAUAGCUUGCUAUAUUUGUCAGCUAAGUGGCGCACGGGUGAGUAAUGUAUAGAUAACCUGCCCUUAAGAAAGGAAUAACAGUUGGAAACGACUGCUAAUGCCCUAUAUGCCUUUAAUACAUAAGUAUGCAAGGGAAACGCUUUAGUGCUUAAGGAUGGGUCUGUAUGGUAUCAGCUUGUUGGUGAGGUAAUGGCUCACCAAGGCUAUGACGCCUAACUGGUUUGAGAGGAUGAUCAGUCACACUGGAACUGAGACACGGUCCAGACUCCUACGGGAGGCAGCAGUGGGGAAUAUUGCACAAUGGACGAAAGUCUGAUGCAGCAACGCCGCGUGGAGGAUGACACAUUUCGGUGCGUAAACUCCUUUUAUAUAGGAAGAUAAUGACGGUACUAUAUGAAUAAGCACCGGCUAACUCCGUGCCAGCAGCAGCCGCAGUAA